rnacentral:rRNA from 1 species
GAUGAACGCUAGCUACAGGCUUAACACAUGCAAGUCGAGGGACCGGCGCACGGGUGAGUAACACGUAUCCAUCCUGCCCUUUACUCGGGGAUAGCCUUUCGAAAGAAAGAUUAAUACCCGAUAUAAAGGAUGGGGAUGCGUUCCAUGAGGUUGUUGGUGAGGUACCGGCCCACCAAGCCUUCGAUGGCUAGGGGGUCGGAGAGGAAGGUCCCCGAGAGUGGAACUGAGACACGGUCCAAACUCAGACGGGAGGGAGCAGUGAGGAAGGUUGGUGAAUGGGCGUUAGCCUGAACCAGCCAAGUAGCGUGAAGGAUGAAGGCUUAUGGGUCGUAAACUUCUUGUAUAUAAGAAUAUGUAUUAUAUGAAUAAGGAUCGGCUAACUCCGUGCCAGCAGCCGCGGUAAUUC